GGGCUGUGCCUGAUAAAGGGCUACUUUGAUAGAGUAAAACAUGAAGGUUAAAGCCCUUCCAACCCC
rnacentral:tRNA from 1 species